GUCUAUUAGAGGGUAUUUAUAAGUCUAGCCUGCUCACUGAUAAAAAUUAUUAAAUAGCCGCGGUAUCUUGAACGUGCAAAGGUAGCAUAAUCAUUAGUUUUUUAAUUGAAAACUUGUAUGAAUGGUUGGACAAAGAAAAAGCUGGCUCUUUCAUUAAAAUUGAAUUUAACUUCUAAGUGAAAAGGCUUAGAUAUUUUAGAGGGACGAUAAGACCCUAUAAAGCUUUAUAAAUUUAGAAAUUUUAUAUAUUUUUUUAAUAAUGAUAAUCUUUUGAAAAUUUAUUGGGUUGGGGCAACAAAAGUAUAAUUAUUAAUAACUGCUAGAAAGUAUUACAAUUGUUUUUGUCAUAAAGAAAAUUAGUUGAUCCCUGAAAGGGAUUAAAAGAUCAAGUUACUUUAGGGAUAACAGCGUAAUUUAUUCUGAGAGUCCUUAUCAAAGAAUAAGUUUGCGACCUCGAUGUUGAAUUAAAAUGUCUUUAUAGUGCAGCAGCUAUAUAAGAAGGUCUGUUCGACCUUUAAUUUUUU
rnacentral:rRNA from 1 species